rnacentral:rRNA from 1 species
CCUACGGGCGGCAGCAGUAGGGAAUCUUCCACAAUGGACGAAAGUCUGAUGGAGCAACGCCGCGUGAGUGAAGAAGGGUUUCGGCUCGUAAAGCUCUGUUGGUAGUGAAGAAAGAUAGAGGUAGUAACUGGCCUUUAUUUGACGGUAAUAACUUAGAAAGUCACGGCUUACUACGUGCCAGCCGCCGCGGUAAUACGUAGGUGGCAAGUGUUGUUCUGUUUUGUUGGGCGUAAAGCGAGUGCAGGCGGUUCAAUAAGUCUGAUGUGAAAGCCGUCGGCUCAACCGGAGAAUUGCAUCAGAAACUGUUGAACUUGAGUGCAGAAGAGGAGAGUGGAACUCCAUGUGUAGCGGUGGAAUGCGUAGAUAUAUGGAAGAACACCAGUGGCGAAGGCGGCUCUCUGGUCUGCAACUGACGCUGAGGCUCGAAAGCAUGGGUAGCGAACAGGAUUAGAUACCCCUGUAGUC